ACAGGUAUUCCAGGAUUUGUACUCACCUCCAAAACUUUGUAGCUUCAUAUUCUAGAAGCCUGGUCUCCAGUGCAACAGUUUCUGAAGGCAGUAGAAUCUUCACAGCCUCCUGGAAGCUUCUAUGAGGAUUCUCCUUCACCCACCCACCUGAUGAUAUUAGCCGAAAUAUCCAGCAAAGGGAAAGAUAGAACCUGUAGAGACCGCACCAGUGGAAAUGCAAGAACAAAGGGAAGAACUGACAAGAAUUUUAAACCUCACCAACAAUAAAAGACUUGUUGAAUCCAGAUACAACAAAGACUUCAAAUGGAUUUUGCAUCCACUGAUGAUGUCUUUUUGCAUCGACUUGUCAUGUCUGAGUAUGGAGCAACACUUCAAAGCUUCAUCCUUUCCUAGCUAUGGGCACAAGUCUCAUCAAUGUUUGAAUGACUUUUAACAAUUUACAUGGAGAAGAAAGAUGAAGAUGUCUAUGAAAAUAAUGAAUACAACAUGAGAGUUUUCUGGCUCAGCUCAAUUAAAGGACAAAUCCAGUGCAGUGUGCAGCCAAAGAAUUGUAAUGAAGUCAGCUGUCAAACUCCCAGCUUACAGAAGCCUCUCUGUGGGGAAUUCGAUAGCCUCUUGUCAGCUGUUUCACCCACUCCAACACAGACAAAGGGUCUCUGAUGGCCUGCUUUAUUCUAAUAAAUCUACAUGGAGACAUAUGUAGAAAUCCCAACAGAAUAAUGUGUAAUUUGAUUUAACAUUUACAGUUGUCGUCUACUACUGAUCUAUCUCUCUGUGUCUGU
rnacentral:sRNA from 1 species